AUACUUACUUAGCAAGGGGAGUACCACAAUCAGGAAGGUGGUUUCCCCAGGGUGAGGCUGUUCUGUUACAUAAUUCAGUUGGGUUGACCCCUGUGAUUCUCACAAAGGUGGGAAACUCAACUGCAUAAUUAAUGGUUUUAAGAUGACAAACAGAUCUGUUUUUUUUUU